UUCAGCAAUCUGUUGUCAUACUUACGAGGGGGAAAAGUGAAAAUCCCAACAGUAGUUGCUUUCAGAGAAGAGAGCAACAGAACAGAUAGGCCAAGCAUUUGAACAGGAGUAGCGAGUGACGAACAGAGGCAGACAUUCAUAUCUAUUUAUGACUGAUGGUCUGCUUAGAAGGGUAAUGAUAGUUUGCCAUCUGCUGAAAGAUCUUGUUCUUAUUCACUUGGCUACUCUUUUGUAUAUAGACAGUCUCAGCUUCCAGCAGAUAAGAAGGAAAUUUCAGUGAUGACUUCUGGCUCCUUGGUACAAAAUAGAAAGUUAAAAAGCCAGAAUGAACUGAUAUUGUACACAAACAGACUUGGGCCUUUGUAGAUCAAAAUAGCCAAUACAUUCCAGAGCUGAGAAGUUUCCACGAAAAAGGUGUUUCUGAAAAGGACAAAUGCUG